GCCUUUUUAUCGCGGGAAAUGGUAGAAGAAGCGGCAGCAGCAACCAGAGAGAUCAAUCAACUGAUACGGAAACGGUAAUCAUACAGCCAGACCUCGAUCCACCGUCCUCGUGCUCAGAUACCCGAUAGCACUGAACCGAAAUUCAAUUUGAACCAGAGCGAGAUCUUCAAGGCACUAGAAAUCGUCGAGAGAGACGCUCUAGCCAUUGCCUAUAGCUUCACUUCUCUCUUCUCUUCACUUCUUCUGGCUCUCUCUGAGGCUGCUAGUACAUCAGUUGAUCACAUGCAAUGUUUUGGUGAUGCUACUGGUCGUCUUCAAGAAUAUGGUAACAUAGGCGGGUCCUCCUUCUUCGGGACCCACAUGGGCUCUACACGAGGCUUUGCAUUCAGGAUAGCGACUCUUUCCACAGAUCAGAAAUUUCUAAUAGGGCGCUGUAACACUAUGGUUUCCCUUUGCUUCUCGCCGCGUCAGUAUUCACGAGAACUAUCUGUACAACUUCCUUCGCAUCACACACUGGUUUUACUUGGGGAGUUUUGAAUCUGGUAAGAAGGCAGCUCGUUUAAAAUUAUGGGAAGAUUGUUUUCUUUAAAUCGAUCAUCUGGCUCCCUCACCGAGCACAACUGUUCAUAAGAUCAUUCAUAGGCAUUCUGAUUUCCAUAAGCAUGAACGAUUGUUAAGAUUAGUUCAAUUGGUAACUAUUUUCCCCUAGUAAUUGAAUUGAUAUUUCUUGACAUUCCUAAUUGGCUCUUGAGAAAAGGCAGCCGUUUCUGAACAAUAGGAGUAUUGUGUCAGUCUUUAAGAACCAUUGCCCUGGUUUUCAGCUACAAGAGCUUAGAGUGACGAGGUUGAUGCUUUGUCAUCAUCGUGACAUCAAGUAUUGUUCAUUUCUUUUCAGAGAUGAAUCAGCUUGAGUAGCCUUCACUGACCGCAUGAUGAGUUGGUUUGCUUGAUCGAUGAGUAGACUCGAGCCAAUUAUCGGAGAGAUGAUGGAGGCACUCUUAGCUGCGUUAAUUCUAGUUUCUGGGAUUCAGGAUGGCCACUUGGUACAGGCCCAUGUAAGAGAGAAGCACGAUGCCUUCUUCAGUAGGGCGAAAUUAUCGGUGAGGGGACCAUGCCCAUGAAGGUAGCUGGGAGCACAACAGGCCUGGUUCUGGCUAGAGUUUGCAAAUGAUUGUGCUAAAAAGUAAUAGCCUUUUUUCGAAACCUUUGUUCCCCUUUUGUCCUGGACAAACGAGGAACACGUUAGUUGUAUUUGUUUUCACUCCAUAAGAGUUCGAAUAUGUUUCAUAGUAACCUCCACCUAGGCCAUCUACCACGCUGCACAAGGGAAAUGAACGAGCUAUUAUAGCUUAAUUCGAUACUAGAUAGAAUUUUUAUU